AGGAGAAGAAGGAGUAUAAUCCAGAAGGUGGCGGUAAUGCAACGCUCUUGGAUGCAAGCCGCCGUUAAACCUCAAAGAAGAAGAAGAAUUGUUCUUUGUCUAGCUUUAUGAUGUUGGAACCUGCUGUCGGGAAUGCAUGAACUGAUUGAAAACUGUUUACCUUCAAUGCGAUGCAGUCGCUUUGGAUAAAGGGACCUGCCAAAUGCAUAAAUGUAAAGAAUCACAUGGACAUAUUGCAGCUUGGGGAAAAUCUGCCCUGUGGAGAACAGUGACAGCCCAAAGACGUGUUCUGAAGGCCUUCAGACAAUUUGGAGAGAAAAAAAGUGCUAAAACCACUGUAAACUCCUCAAACCAGCUCUCCAGAGAGGAGCCAUGAAAAACAUCAGUAGAAGAACAUCUCAGGGUGACAUCCCUGUGGACCUCAGAGUAAGGAAUGACCAUAAAGAGACCCCCGUGUUUCACCCCCAUGUCCUGAUGGAGAGAGGUCAGAGGUCAUGAGGAGCAUGGAUAUGUCCAUUCCCAAAGGGGCUGAAGGGUAAUGGAAUGGCAGGUUCAGACCAAACGGAGCAAUUUGCGCUUGUCCCAUCUGAACCUGGAAGAAAAGCGAAAGACAUGAAUUUGACCGAGCACCAGAUCAGCAUAUUAGAACGAUUCCUGAAUGAUAAUGUGACACCGAAAACUGGAGCAAUGGAAAAUUCUGCUUUUCCAUUACAGGAAUAAAUUACAUUU